ensembl:lncRNA
UCAGUGGCGGCUGGUGGUUUUUAAAGUGAGGGAGGAAGGACUGCGCGCUUGGUUGCCAUUGGCCUGCUUGCACUGUUGGUGGUAUGGUGGCAUAAGAAUGUGAGACUCAAGUUGUUUCAGGGUGUUUUGGUGAACUACAAAAUAGCAGGGAGGGAGUAAUGUGAACAAAAUGUAUACAAAGCCACCAGUGGCAUCACUGUAAUUUCAUAAGGAAAGGAUGCAAAGCAUAUUAGUCAAAUCAGGCCUACUAUUGAUUUGUAAAAGUAAAUCAAAAAAUCUGGGCCUAUCAUUGGGCCUAUUUUUGCCCUCACUGACUGAAGUUAUUUAGCUAUGUUUAUUUUCAGUUACAAUUGCUUGUAAUGCUACCAGUAAGUCAUGCGUACCUAGCAAACCAUGUAGCACUCACAACACUGACGUUGCCGUCAUUUUGGGAAGUGGUCUACCUCUUUCUUUGGUCGCUAACUUAGCACUGUAACUGAAUGAAUGGAAUGCUUUUUGUAAUAAGACGUUCACAAUGUCCUCCGUUUCCAAUGUUUCCAUUGUGCAUUUAGGAUCUCGCUAUCGCAGAUUUCACUUGCUCUGCGUCUCUCAGACUGAGCACCGCGGCAAUGCAGACCGGGUUUGCUAUCGACAGCGUUGCCAGAUUGGGCAGAUUUCCCCGCCCAAUGAUAAUCUUUCCAGCCUAACAUGGUUAAAAGUAGCCCAAUUGGGUGGGAAAUCGGACCAAUCUGGCGACACUGCUCAACAUCCAGGGAUCCUUCUUAUUGGUUCAUAGCGCAGACGGAUAGAUUUUUGCGCGAAUCAGACCCCUUAAGGUCCCACCCACUCAGAGGAGGAUUUUCCUCCUCUCUGCCAUUGAAACCCAUGUUAUCCACCGGCCGCCAGUACUUUCGGGAAAAUGAAUGGGAGUGGACGGCGGCGAAGGGAGGACGUUCCUCCCUGAAGUAAUUGUCAAUAGGCGAUAGGGGGGUGCUAAUAUCCCUUUACCCAGGGAAACGAACAUUAUAUAUUCAAAGGCUAAAAAGUAGUCAUAUUUAAGGGCAUUCAUUCAUUACAAUAGUCUGGGCAAUCUACAUUUUUUAUUCUGAACAAUGUUAGGGAGGAUCUUCCUCCCUCUCCUCAAUGGAGAAGCCUCCACUGA